UGUAUUUAUUAGAUAAAAAACCAAUGCCCUCCGGGGCUCUUUGGUGAUUCAUGAUAACUUAACGGAUCGCAUGGCCUUGCGCCGGCGACGGUUCAUUCAAAUUUCUGCCCUAUCAACUUUCGAUGGUAAGGUAUUGGCUUACCAUGGUUUCAACGGGUAACGGGGAAUUAGGGUUCGAUUCCGGAGAGGGAGCCUGAGAAACGGCUACCACAUCCAAGGAAGGCAGCAGGCGCGCAAAUUACCCAAUCCCGACACGGGGAGGUAGUGACAAUAAAUACUGAUACAGGGCUCUUUUGGGUCUUGUAAUUGGAAUGAGUACAAUUUAAAUCCCUUAACGAGGAACAAUUGGAGGGCAAGUCUGGUGCCAGCAGCCGCGGUAAUUCCAGCUCCAAUAGCGUAUAUUAAAGUUGUUGCAGUUAAAAAGCUCGUAGUUGAACCUUGGGCCUGGCUGGCCGGUCCGCCUCACCGCGUGCACUGGUUCGGCCGGGCCUUUCCCUCUGGGGAGCCCUAUGCCCUUCACUGGGUGUAGUGGGGAACCAGG
rnacentral:rRNA from 1 species